CCCAACUCGAAAAUCUUUAUGAAGGAACGCAAACGGAUAUUCAAUCCAGACAAGUAAUAUUACCAGAUGUAUCAGCAAUUGCUAGUGAUUCUGGUUCAACGCCUUCUGAACCACAGGAACCAGCAAUCCAAGAGGGUAUGGAAACACUCG